rnacentral:rRNA from 1 species
AGCGAACGCUGGCGGCAGGCCUAACACAUGCAAGUCGAACGAACCUUUCGGGGUGAGUGGCGGACGGGUGAGUAACAUGUGGGAACGUGCCUUUAGGUUCGGAAUCACCCAGGGAAACUUGCGCUAAUACCGAAUGUGCCCUUCGGGGGAAAGCUUAAUCGCCUUUAGAGCGGCCCGCGCCCGAUUAGCUAGUUGGUUGAGGUAAUGGCUCACCAAGGCGACGAUCAGUAGCUGGUCUGAGAGGAUGAUCAGCCACUGUGGGACUGAGACACGGCCCAAACUCCGACGUGAGGCAGCAGUGGGGGAUCUAGCGCCAUGAGCGAACGCCUGACGCAGCCAUGCCGCGUGAAUGAUGAAGGUCUUAGGAUUGUAAAAUUCUUUCACCGGGGACGAUAAUGACGGUACCCAGAGAAGAAGCCCCGGCUAACUUCGUG